AUUGAACGCUGGCGGCAGGCCUAACACAUGCAAGUCGAGCGAGCGGCGGACGGGUGCGUAAUGUCUGGGAAACUGCCUGCUGGAGGGGGAUAACUACUGGAAACGGUAGCUAAUACCGCAUACCAUCAGAUGUGCCCAGAUGGGAUUAGCUAGUAGGUGGGGUAACGGGUCACCUAGGCGACGAUCCCUAGCUGGUCUGAGAGGAUGACCAGCGACACGGGAACUGAGACACGGGCCAGACUCCUACGGGAGGCAGCAGUGGGGAAUAUUGCACAAUGGGCACAAGCCUGAUGCAGCCAUGCCGCGUGUGUGAAGAAGGCCUUCGGGUGGUAAAGCCCUUGCAGCGGGGAGGCGUUACCCGCAGAAGAAGGACCGGCUAACUCCGUGCCAGCAGCCGCGGUAAUUC
rnacentral:rRNA from 1 species